CUGCUGGAGUGCGGGGGGGACCUCCAGCCCCCCGGGGGGUCCCUCCAGCCCCCCGGGGGGUCCCUGACUCUGCUCUGCCGUGCCUCCGGGUUCGAUUUUGGGAGUUUUGCCAUGAACUGGGUCCGCCAAAGACCUGGGAAGUGGUUGGAAUUCGUUGCACAGAUCGGCUACAAUGGUGGUUACAUCUACUAUGCGCCGUCGGUGAAGGGUCGGUUCACGAUCUCCAGGGACAACGGGCAGAGCUCGGUGACGCUGACCAUGAACAACCUCAAGGACGAGGAUUCCGCCGUUUAUUUCUGCGCCAAAGAUUACAGCAAUUACUAUGGUGCUGCUACUGCUGCUGGUAAUGGCGGUUUUUUCAACGAUGCCAUCGAGAACCGGCCCUUGACCGACGGCGCGUACUCGGUGCCGCUGUCAGUCCAGAUCCCUGCGAGCAAUUCCAGUCCCUUCCCAGGUCUUUGGCGGAUCCAGAACAUGAACCGGUGA